rnacentral:rRNA from 1 species
UACCUGCAGCCCGAGUGGUGCUCGUUAUUAUUGGGUCUAAAUCGUCCGUAGUCGGCCGGGUAGAUGCCUGGGUAAAUCGAAGCGCUUAACGUUUCGAAUUCCAGGUAGACCGCCCGGCUUGGGAUCGGGUGAGGUGCGAGGUACUUCGGGGGUAGGGGUAAAAUCCUGUAAUCCUCGAGGGACCACCAGUGGCGAAGGCGUCGCACUAGAACGAGUCCGACGAUCAGGGACGAAGCCCUGGGGCGCAAACGGG